rnacentral:rRNA from 1 species
UACGAAGGGUGCAAGCGUUACUCGGAAUUACUGGGCGUAAAGGGCGCGUAGGCGGCCUGUUAAGUCGAACGUGAAAUCCCCAGGCUCAACCUGGGAACUGCGUCCGAUACUGGCAGGCUUGAAUCCGGGAGAGGGAUGCGGAAUUCCAGGUGUAGCGGUGAAAUGCGUAGAUAUCUGGAGGAACACCGGUGGCGAAGGCGGCAUCCUGGACCGGUAUUGACGCUGAGGCGCGAAAGCCAGGGGAGCAAACGGG